GCCUGAAUAGCUCAGUUGGUUAGAGCGCGGUGCUAGUAAUGCCAAGGUGGCAGGUUCGAUCCCUGUAUGGGACA